AUAUAGCCUCUCUCCGGAUUCUAGGGUUUCGGAAAACUCUUUCUACCGACUCGAUCGUUUUAACUUAAUCAAUUGCCGGUUCGAAUCCUAAGUUCGUUUUAUAUAAAUCCUAAUUUGGUAAUGCUAGCGCUUAUUCAAAAUGUUCGUUUUUUUUCCUAAUUGCUUGAGUACUUAUUUUAAACUCAUGAGCUGUUUAUUUACAUUAUUGGGCUACACUCGCUAGACCUUGUAAUCUAGUUCC